CUCUGAGAGAAGGGCCCGGAGAUGGUACUGAGACACGACCCAGGCCCUAUGGGGCGCAGCAGGCGAGAAACCUUUGCAAUGGGCGAAAGCACGACAAGGUUAAUCCGAGUGUCUCCUGCUAAAGGAGUCUUUUGUCAGUUGUAGAAUCACUGGUGAAUAAGGGGUGGGCAAGUUCUGGUGUCAGCCGCCGCGGUAAAACCAGCACCUCGAGUGGUCAGGAGGUUUAUUGGGCCUAAAGCAUCCGUAGCCGGUUGCAUAAGUUUUCGGUUAAAUCUAUGCGCUUAACGUAUAGGCCGCCGAAAAUACUGUGCAGCUAGGGAGUGGGAGAGGUACACGGUACUCGAUAGGAAGGGGUAAAAUCCUUUGAUCUAUUGAAGACCACCUGUGGCGAAGGCGGUGUACCAGAACACGUUCGACGGUGAGGGAUGAAAGCUGGGGGAGCAAACCGGAUUAGAUACCCGGGUAGUCCCAGCUGUAAACGAUGCAGACUCGGUGAUGCAUUGGCUUGUGGCCAGUGCAGUGCCGCAGGGAAGCCGUUAAGUCUGCCGCCUGGGAAGUACGUACGCAAGUAUGAACUUAAGGAUUGGCGGGGGAGCACCACAAGGGUGAAGCCUGCGGUUCAAUUGGAGUCACGCC
rnacentral:rRNA from 1 species